rnacentral:rRNA from 14 species
CGGUGGUCCCACCUGACCCCAUGCCGAACUCAGAAGUGAAACGCCGUAGCGCCGAUGGUAGUGUGGGGUCUCCCCAUGUGAGAGUAGGGAACUGCCAGGC